rnacentral:rRNA from 1 species
AGCGAACGCUGGCGGCAGGCUUAACACAUGCAAGUCGAGCGGGCACUUUCGGGUGUCAGCGGCGGACGGGUGAGUAACGCGUGGGAACGUGCCCUCUGGUUCGGAAUAACUCAGGGAAACUUGAGCUAAUACCGGAUACGCCCUUUUGGGGAAAGGCUUGCUGCCGGAGGAUCGGCCCGCGUCUGAUUAGCUAGUUGGUGAGGUAACGGCUCACCAAGGCGACGAUCAGUAGCUGGUCUGAGAGGAUGAUCAGCCACACUGGGACUGAGACACGGCCCAGACUCCUACGGGAGGCAGCAGUGGGGAAUAUUGGACAAUGGGCGCAAGCCUGAUCCAGCCAUGCCGCGUGAGUGAUGAAGGUCUUAGGGUUGUAAAGCUCUUUUAUCCGGGACGAUAAUGACGGCACCGGAGGAAUAAGCCCCGGCUAACUUCGUG